UCGAACAUGUUUCUGUUAGCGCUUUCACCGCAUCUCAGCGGUUCAUCAGUUGAUGAACCGCUGGAGAUGCGGUGAAAGCGCUAACAGAAACAAUGUUCGAUUUAUGAUGUGAUUUUUUGUGUUUUUUACUUUUAAAUUAUAUAACUGAUGAACCGCUGGAGAUGCGGUGAAAGCGCUAACAGAAACAAUGUUCGA
rnacentral:sRNA from 1 species